rnacentral:tRNA from 2 species
CCCUGGUUAGCUCAAUUGGUAGAGCGCUCCACGUGUAAUGGAGAGGUCCCGGGUUCGAUACCCGGCCCAGGCG